GAAGUAAAAGUCGUAACAAGGUUUCCGUAGGUGAACCUGCGGAAGGAUCAUUAACGAGUUCAAAAGUCGGUCGACCGUGCUGGCGGAGACGCAUGUGCACGUCGGUCGCGAACCAUCCACACACCGUGAACCUAUGGCCUGGGGUUUGAGUUCAGACCCUGGGCACCAUUUUUACACUCURUUUGUAAAGGAAUGUCUUAUAUCAUAUAAACAUACAACUUUCAACAACGGAUCUCUUGGCUCUCGCAUCGAUGAAGAACGCAGCGAAAUGCGAUAAGUAAUGUGAAUUGCAGAAUUCAGUGAAUCAUCGAAUCUUUGAACGCACCUUGCACCCUUUGGUAUUCCGAAGGGUACGCCCGUUUGAGUGUCAUUGUAAUCUCACCCCGAAAUCUUUUUUUCGGAGUGGACUUGGACGCUGCCGUGUUGCAUGGCUCGUCUUGAACGUCUCAGUGURCCCCGCCCGUCGGUGUAGACAGCGUGAUAAGUAUCUUCGCUGGUCAAGCCUCUCCGGAGGCGCGCCCUCGAGCAUGGAAGUGUGCUGCCAACCGUCUUUUGACAACUUUUGACAAUUUGACCUCAGAUCGGGUGGGACUACCCGCUGAACUUAAGCAUAUC
rnacentral:rRNA from 1 species